GACGAACCGGGCAAACGUUAUUCGGAAUCACUGGGCUUAAAGGGUGCGUAGGCGGCUCUGAAAGUUGGGUGUGAAAUCCCUCGGCUCAACCGAGGAAUUGCGCCCAAAACUGCAGAGCUUGAGGAAGGCAGAGGUGAGCGGAACUGAUGGUGGAGCGGUGAAAUGCGUUGAUAUCAUCAGGAACACCAGUGGCGAAGGCGGCUCACGGGGCCUUUUAUGACGCUGAGGCACGAAAGCCAGGGGAGCAAACGGG
rnacentral:rRNA from 1 species